AGAAAAUCAAAUAUACUGGAACAAUUGCAAGAGCAAUUAAUUACAAAGGACAUGACACGCUCAUUGUUAAUGUGAGUAGAGGACUAUAUCUAACAGGUAUAACAUGAGCUGAUGAGCACAUAAACUGAAAAGUUAUCAUCAUCUCAAACUUCUAGAAAUGUGAUGUGGAGCUAGUAAAAAAGUGGAAAUACUUCUACCACAAUGAAGCAAUUUCAUAAAAAGGAAAAACAAAUUUUUUUUAACGAAGUCUUCAAGGCAUAAGUGCCCACUUGCACAGCAGGAUACAAGCUGCAGUUUAGAUCACUGCUAUGAACUUGUUUAACCAGGGGCAGGGUUUGUUCAUAGAUGCAACAGUUGUAUAAUUGAUAUGCACUCUAUACACAUUUAUAUUCAAAUCUCUUGCACAUCCCAAAAGACCUCCACUUCACGUCUCCACCAACUUGCAAAACUUCUUUGUUUCCUCUACUAUUUGAAAAUAAGUAGCCAAUUUCAGUUUCCUCUCAUUUGGCAUAUUAUGUGAAACAGUUUAGUUGGGAAAAAAGAGGAAAUAAAGCCUUAAAAGUUUUGUUCUGCUACAUCAAUUAAUAUUCAUAACUCAUUAUUCAAGCCAGCAUAUGCUACCAUAGACUUAUCUUUAUA
rnacentral:misc_RNA from 1 species